rnacentral:antisense_RNA from 1 species
ACAACGCUCUUGUGUUAACGUUAAACAUAUAAGUCCACGACAAUGUUUCGCCAUAAAAUUAAUCUUCUCUGGAGUGAUAAACUCCGCAGCUAU